AUUGAACGCUGGCGGCAUGCUCUACACAUGCAAGUCGAACGGUAACAGGCCGCAAGGUGCUGACGAGUGGCGAACGGGUGAGUAAUGCAUCGGAACGUGCCCAGUCGUGGGGGAUAACUACUCGAAAGAGUAGCUAAUACCGCAUACGAUCUAUGGAUGAAAGCGGGGGACCGUAAGGCCUCGCGCGAUUGGAGCGGCCGAUGUCAGAUUAGGUAGUUGGUGGGGUAAAGGCUCACCAAGCCAACGAUCUGUAGCUGGUCUGAGAGGACGACCAGCCACACUGGGACUGAGACACGGCCCAGACUCCUACGGGAGGCAGCAGUGGGGAAUUUUGGACAAUGGGCGCAAGCCUGAUCCAGCAAUGCCGCGUGCAGGAAGAAGGCCUUCGGGUUGUAAACUGCUUUUGUACGGAACGAAACGGCUCUGGUUAAUACCCGGGGCUAAUGACGGUACCGUAAGAAUAAGCACCAGCUAACUACGUG
rnacentral:rRNA from 1 species